rnacentral:rRNA from 1 species
UACGAAGGGUGCAAGCGUUAAUCGGAAUUACUGGGCGUAAAGGGUGCGUAGGCGGUUGGUUAAGUCUGUUGUGAAAUCCCCGGGCUCAACCUGGGAAUGGCGAUGGAUACUGGACAGCUAGAGUGUGUCAGAGGAUGGUGGAAUUCCCGGUGUAGCGGUGAAAUGCGUAGAGAUCGGGAGGAACACCAGUGGCGAAGGCGGCCUUCUGGACCAAUACUGACGCUCAUGCACGAAAGCGUGGGGAGCAAACAGG